rnacentral:rRNA from 1 species
UACAGAGGGGGCAAGCGUUGUUCGGAAUUACUGGGCGUAAAGGGCGCGUAGGCGGCCUGUUAAGUCGAACGUGAAAUCCCCGGGCUCAACCCGGGAACUGCGUCCGAUACUGGCAGGCUCGAAUCCGGGAGAGGGAUGCGGAAUUCCAGGUGUAGCGGUGAAAUGCGUAGAUAUCUGGAGGAACACCGGUGGCGAAGGCGGCAUCCUGGACCGGCAUUGACGCUGAGGCGCGAAAGCCAGGGGAGACAAACGGG